UAAUAGCCAGAAGCUGGAAGGAACC
rnacentral:piRNA from 2 species